GCCGAAGUGGUGGAAUUGGUAGACACGCUAUCUUGAGGGGGUAGUGGCCGUAAGGCCGUGCGGGUUCAAGUCCCGCCUUCGGCACCA
rnacentral:tRNA from 1 species